AUUGAACGCUGGCGGCAGGCUAACACAUGCAAGUCGAGCGGGGUGAUGGUGCUUGCACUAUCACUUAGCGGCGGACGGGUGAGUAAUGCUUAGGAAUCUGCCUAUUAGUGGGGGACAACAUCUCGAAAGGGAUGCUAAUACCGCAUACGUCCUACGGGAGAAAGCAGGGGAUCACUUGUGACCUUGCGCUAAUAGAUGAGCCUAAGUCGGAUUAGCUAGUUGGUGGGGUAAAGGCCUACCAAGGCGACGAUCUGUAGCGGGUCUGAGAGGAUGAUCCGCCAGACUGGGACUGAGACACGGCCCAGACUCCUACGGGAGGCAGCAGUGGGGAAUAUUGGACAAUGGGGGGAACCCUGAUCCAGCCAUGCCGCGUGUGUGAAGAAGGCCUUAUGGUUGUAAAGCACUUUAAGCAAGGAGGAGGCUCUUUUGGUUAAUACCCAAGAUGAGUGGACGUUACUCGCAGAAUAAGCACCGGCUAACUCUGUGCCAGCCGCCGCCGUAA
rnacentral:rRNA from 1 species